GGAAAUUGCUGAGGGGACUCAGUCGCUUCUACCUAUGUAUAUAUAUAUAUAUAUAUAUAUAUAAGAAAAAGGACAAGGAUUAACAAGCUGCAUUCUGAGGUUGCUUUGUUCCAUCUUCGGCCUCUUUCUCUUCUUGUAGCGCGCAGAAGAUCGAGAUCAUGAUCAUCAUGUAUCGGCUAUCGUACGUGUCUGAUGUUUGCAAGUUCUUGCCUAAGGUUUGUUUUGCAUGGGAAGGUGGAUGAAUUAAAAUUAAUGGUGUCGACGAUGCUGAUAAUUAAAGGCCAGGCAAUAAUUUUCGGAGACCGAUCACGUACAUGAGUUGCAAACAACAUUGGUCAAGUGUCGAACCCAUGCAUGCAAAACAAGUUUAAGCCUACUCAUAAUAUUAAUGAUAUAUUCGCUAACUCUCUCGAUUUGAGAUGGCAUUACACCCAACAUGCAUGUUUCUCUUCCUAAUUUUGUCUAUACACUUUUAUGGGCCAGGGCCUGACUUCAUAAUUAAUUUAGAAAAUUUUCAUUUGGGCCGAUCAACUUCACCACGCGUUUACAGCAAAGAAAAAUGUUAAUUCCAUUAGAAUAAUUGUAAAUAUAUAUAUAAAUUAAUAUGCCUUGAUUUAUUUUACGAUUAUAUUAAUAUUUUAUGGCAUAAAAACGUCUCCCUGGCCCAAAAAAUAUGGGAACAAGAAAACCAAAAAAAUAAGGUUGCGUGUAUGUAUUUUUCUCAUUAUAAGUUACCGUAUGUUAACGGAGAAGGAAACUUGAAGAGGAAGCUUGAACAUAUAUGAAAGCUUAAAGAGGAAGCUAAGUUGGAACAUUCGAUCGGAUACUGAUACUCACUCCGGUGGACUCCUUCGGCAGAUUACUUUUUGGCAAUCCAAUGGUGGUCAGACUUUGGUCAAGAAACACAAUGAUUAAAAACACGUCCGACGUCACAAUGAAAGUGGAUGUGAUGGUGCAUCCUGGCAACUUUCUAUCAGAGGCGAGUCCAGGUAAAAUCCCAGCUGGUGAGCACAGGUAUAUCUGCUACGCGGAUAUUGGCAUUGAAUAUAAUCGCGACCGUGACUUUGAAGUGCUCGCUUACUUUGAGGGUGCCCUGAAUAAGGAUAAGAAAAUCAUAUCGUCAUCCGAGAUAAGGGACAAUGCGAUAAUUGAAUUGAACGACCUGAACGGAACUGUCACCGCCCUUCCAAUUAAGGGAAAUAUGAUUGCAAUGAACGGAGCUGUUAUCGUCGUGAAACGCACAGCGAAAAAGAUGAUUAAGUCUGUGUGGAAAUCGGAUGGAAGAUCAUCGAUGACAGAGAAAUGGAAUUUGAUCUAAUUAGCGUAAGGCUGUCAGUAGGAAUGGUCGGGAAAUUCCAUGUGGAUCAGCAGCCAACGAAAUUGAUUGCAGUUGGUAUGAGCAGCAGGCAGGAAGCUUAACUUUUUUUGAUGGAGUUUACAGCUUCUUCUGAAGUCUAUCAAUUUGGUCUGUACACGAAGCUUAGAGUUCUAAUAUUGAAUAACGAUAAUUUGAAACCUAUACAAGAAAAAGUUCUGUUAUUAGAGCACAGGUUAGUCAGAAUGGGAUGUGAAA